ensembl:lncRNA
GGCGCAUUGUGCUCUGUGGGACCCAGUUUGGGAAAAGCUGCCCUACUGGCUGGUCUGCAAACAGCUGCCGAGACAGAGCAGGGGGUCCAAGCAGGACAAGGCGCAUGAACAGGAACAGGGCUUGCGGGGGUCCUGGGCUGCAGCCCCUCAGCUCGUGGGCUCCCCGUCCUGUUUGCCCCCACUCUUCACUCCCUGCCUCAGGCUUGCAUUUAACACCUUCCCCUUCUUCCCUAGUGACCCCGAAUCUCCCUAAAAUCAUCGCCCUCCACCCCCUUCUCCGAUGGACACCCAGAGACCAGAGCCCCCAGCGCACUGCUCAGGGUGCCGGGCACGUCUGGCGCUUUGUAGUCGUGGGAUCACGUGAAUGUCUGUGCUCUGCCUGCCCCUCCUGCUGGCCUGUCAGCAGGGGCCGCAGUGUCACUGACCACAUACCUGGCAGGCUGGUGGGCCAGCUCCGAGGUGGGCAGAGCGCAGAGCUGUACCUGGGCCGCCCAUGCGCCGGGCCCAGGCCCAGACCCGGCCACCCUCCAGGGCUUGUGUACCAGGUCAUCGGAGGACCCCACCAUCCCAAACCAGACUGCACACCCUGUCCAGCUUUUGUGGACUCGGCAACGGGACCCAAGGGGUAUUUCUGGAGACCUUCCCAAAGGAGCCAUCCAGCCAGGGUCUUUGCAGAAGUAAUUGAGGAUCUUGAGGUGGGAGCGUCCUCAAGUAUCCUGCUGAGCCCUCAAUCCAAGGACAACUGACCUCGUAGGAGAAAGAGGAGAUUUGGACAGAAGCGGGAAGACAGAGGCGUGAGUCGGGGGCUGUGGACCACAGGGCAGAGAGCGAAGCCACGUGGCUGCAGAUUCUCCCCUGGAUGCGCAAGGGGAGUGUGACCUUCCUGGACUUCUGAUUUCUGGCCUCCAGAAUGAUAAUUGUAGGUUCACACGCAGUUUCAGAAGACAAUGCAGAAAGCACCCUGCUUUCCCCUAAAGGUGACGUCCCGGGUGAGAAGGACACAGCGUCAUAACCACCCCACUGACAGAACUCCCAGUCAUGCAGACUCAUCAGUGUUUCGUGCCCACCGGCCCUGGCCAUGCUGGAGGAGCCCGCAGGCCCCUCGGGCUCGCCAGUAGGGUCUGUGUCCUGAGGAUGUGCCCUGAGCCAUGGCCACCAGCAGCUGUGAAGCCAGUGUCAGCCGGUAAGGCUGCGAGACCCAGGGUGGGAGGGCAAGCAGGUGCCAGGUGCACUAGGAACCAUCUCAGCUUGUCCUCACAGGGGAGGCACAGAGACUGAUUGAGUUGUGGCUUACAAACUUGAGCAGCUUUCAGUGAUGUUAACGAGAAAAAAUGCAGCUUCAGAUGUUAAAAUGCGGGGCGGUCACCGUGUGGGGACCAGAGCGCAGGGCAGCGCUGGCUGGACCCCCAAGCCCGUGUGUAGGAGCCAUGUCCUUGCUCUGGGCUUCAUCCUGGGAGCGCUCCUGACUGCUCGCCUCAAGGGCGGAUUUUCAGCCCACCGUUUGUCAGUUCUUCUUCUUUAUGGACAAAUUUUAGGGCCACUCAUUUCCCUAAAAUUUUAAGCUGCAUCUGUACAUUUUAAUAUUCAGCCUUUACAUAAUUUUUCAGCUCAACCUAGACAGCAUAUUAAAAAUCAGAGACAUUGCUUUGCCAACAAAGGUCCAUCUAGUCAAGGCUAUGGUUUUUCCAGUGGUCAUGUAUGGAUGUGA